rnacentral:tRNA from 1 species
GGCAAUAUGGGUCAUUUGAUAAGAGUAUCUGCCUAGCAAACAGAAGGCCUUGAGUUCACGCCCCACUAUUGCUG